UACGUAGGAUGCAAGCGUUGUCCGGAUUUACUGGGCGUAAAGCGCGCGCAGGCGGCACAUUAAGUCAGGUGUGAAAUAUCCCGGCUCAACCGGGAGGGUGCACUUUAGACUGAUGAGCUUGAGUUCGGUAGAGGGGGGUGGAAUUGCUGGUGUAGCGGUGAAAUGCGUAGAGAUCAGCAGGAACACCCGUGGCGAAGGCGGCCCCCUGGGCCGUACCUGACGCUGAGGCGCGAAGGCUAGGGGAGCAAACGGG
rnacentral:rRNA from 1 species